rnacentral:rRNA from 1 species
AGAGUUUGAUCAUGGCUCAGAUUGAACGCUGGCGGCGUGCCUAACACAUGCAAGUCGAACGGUAAUAGGCUGAGAGAGCCUUCGGGUGAUCUCGGUGCUGACGAGUGGCGAACGGGUGAGUAAUGCUUGGGAAUCUGCCUGUUAGUGGGGGAUAACCCGGGGAAACUCGGGCUAAUACCGCAUACGCUCUACGGAGGAAAGCUGGGGACCGCAAGGCCUGGCGCUAACAGAUGAGCCCAAGUCGGAUUAGCUAGUGGGUAGGGUAACGGCCUACCAAGGCGACGAUCCGUAGCUGGUCUGAGAGGACGACCAGCCACACUGGGACUGAGACACGGCCCAGACUCCUACGGGAGGCAGCAGUGGGGAAUAUUGGACAAUGGGCGAAAGCCUGAUCCAGCGACGCCGCGUGGGUGAAGAAGGCCUGCGGGUUGUAAAGCCCUUUCGGUGGGGAAGAAAAGCUUCGACCUAAUACGUCGAGGUCUUGACGUAACCCACAGAAGAAGCACCGGCUAACUCUGUGCCAGCAGCCGCGGUAAUACAGAGGGUGCGAGCGUUAAUCGGAAUUACUGGGCGUAAAGCGCGCGUAGGCGGCUUUGCAAGUCGGGUGUGAAAUCCCUGGGCUUAACCUAGGAACUGCACUCGAGACCGCAUUGCUAGAGUAUGGUAGAGGGAAGUGGAAUUUCCGGUGUAGCGGUGAAAUGCGUAGAUAUCGGAAGGAACACCAGUGGCGAAAGCGACUUCCUGGACCAAUACUGACGCUCAGGCGCGAAAGC